rnacentral:rRNA from 1 species
AACGAACGCUGGCGGCAUGCUUAACACAUGCAAGUCGAACGAGACCUUCGGGUCUAGUGGCGCACGGGUGCGUAACGCGUGGGAAUCUACCCUUGGGUUCGGAAUAACUCAGAGAAAUUUGAGCUAAUACCGGAUGAUGUCUUCGGACCAAAGAUUUAUCGCCCAGGGACGAGCCCGCGUAGGAUUAGCUAGUUGGUGAGGUAAAAGCUCACCAAGGCGACGAUCCUUAGCUGGUCUGAGAGGAUGAUCAGCCAGACUGGAACUGAGACACGGUCCAGACUCCUACGGGAGGCAGCAGUAAGGAAUCUUCCACAAUGGGGGCAACCCUGAUGGAGCAACGCCGCGUGCAGGAUGAAGGCCCUCGGGUCGUAAACUGCUUUUAUGAGUGAAGAAUAUGACGGUAACUCAUGAAUAAGCACCGGCUAACUACGUGCCAGCAGCCGCGGUCAUACGUAGGGUGCAAGCAUUAUCCGGAGUGACUGGGCGUAAAGAGUUGCGUAGGCGGUUAGUAAAGCGAAUAGUGAAACCUGGUGGCUCAACCAUACAGACUAUUAUUCGAACUCACUAACUCGAGAGUGGUAGAGGUAACUGGAAUUUCUUGUGUAGGAGUGAAAUCCGUAGAUAUAAGAAGGAACACCAAUGGCGUAGGCAGGUUACUGGACCAUUUCUGACGCUAAGGCACGAAAGCGUGGGGAGCGAACGGGAUUAGAUACCCCGGUAGUCCACGCCGUAAACGAUGGAUACUAGCUGUUGGAGGUAUCGACCCCUUCAGUAGCGAAGCUAACGCGUUAAGUAUCCCGCCUGUGGAGUACGGCCGCAAGGCUAAAACAUAAAGGAAUUGACGGGG